rnacentral:rRNA from 1 species
CCUACGGGAGGCAGCAGUGAGGAAUAUUGGUCAAUGGGCGGGAGCCUGAACCAGCCAAGUCGCGUGAGGGAAGACGGUCCUAUGGAUUGUAAACCUCUUUAGGCGGGGAGCAAUGCCGGGCACGCGUGCCCGGAGGGAGAGUACCCGCAGAAUAAGCAUCGGCUAACUCCGUGCCAGCAGCCGCGGUAAUACGGAGGGGGCAAGCGUUAUCCGGAUUUACUGGGUGUAAAGGGGGCGCAGACGGCGAUGCAAGCCAGGAGUGAAAGCCCGGGGCCCAACCCCGGGACUGCUCUUGGAACUGCGUGGCUGGAGUGCAGGAGGGGCAGGCGGAAUUCCUGGUGUAGCGGUGAAAUGCGUAGAUAUCACGCAGAACCCCGAUUGCGAAGGCAGCCUUCCGGCGCCCUACUGACGCUGAGGCACGAAAGUGCGGGGAUCGAACAGGAUUAGAUACCCGGGUAGUC